UGGCAGUGUUCUCCAUUGGAAGAGAGACUUUUAAAACUGAAGGAGGAUAAGGAGGACUUCUAUCGCAAAGUGACGGAUGUUUUUGUGCAGAAGGAGCGACGCAUGGACUUCAUUUAUAAGUAAAGGUAAGACAGUAAUAACAUUUAUUUUGUUUUGUUUUUUAAGGAAAUGUGUGUUUUGUGAGCUACAGUUUGUAUGUGUAAGGAUGCAGAAGUGAAACAUAACCUGUAAACUGCUGUCAAUCUAUGCAUCUAUUUGCAAAUCUGAUUCUGAUGACGUCAGUGCCUCACCAGCUAUGAACCUCACCGCACGUCACUGUAACUAUA